GAGUCUCAACAGCAGCUGAGCUGGAGCAGCAAACAUGCUGCUGCUGGCAGCUCUGAUGGUCGCAACUGUGUGGCCCAAUGCAUUUGCACAGGAAACUCCCAUACAGAGCCCUGUAUCCAUCACCAUGUCACGAGGAAAUACAGAUCUGAAGUGUCAUUUUAAAGACUUCUCUGGAAAUUUUGAUAACACCGUCAUACACUGGUAUCAACAGAAGGAGAAUAAAGCUCCAGUGAGGAUGAUCUACUUUUCAUCAGGGUCAGUAGCAGUAGAUGAGAGCUUCCAAAGGCACAGGUACAGGAUUCAAACUAUUCCUACACAGAGACUUUGCACUCUUACAAUAAGAAAUGUAAUUCCGGAUGAUGCUGCUACUUACUACUGUGCCUACUGGGACCCUCACUACGGCAAAUGCCAAACAAUCACCUCUGCAAAUACUUCCUCGGCAGUUCAACCACAAAUCAUUUGUCAUAAAACCAUAUAACUCCCAUGGUGUGGAUGAGCUGCUCAGUCAGAAGCACUUCAAUCUAAAUGUCUCUGAGGAUUUGGAGAUCUGCUUCUCUCAAAUGAAGGAUUAUGAAGCUAUCUGCAAAGUCCCUGUUGGCCAUUUCUUCAGUGACAAGUCCAAUCUUAGCCUGGAAAGCUCAAUGGUUGGAAAGAAUCUGCCCAGUACAGGUGUCUUCUUGCAACAGAUGGCACAAAGUUUGCUUUGUAAUUGUGCCUAUCAGAAGAUUUGCUGUGUCAGAAUUCUUCAGGAUAAAACUCAGACAGUAGCUGUCAUUUAGACAUUGGUUGUGUGAGAUCCUGUCACAAUGAUACUCCUUUCUUAUUCAAUUUUC